rnacentral:rRNA from 2 species
CUGGUGUCAGCCGCCGCGGUAAUACCAGCACCCCGAGUGGUCGGGACGUUUAUUGGGCCUAAAGCAUCCGUAGCCGGUUCUACAAGUCUUCCGUUAAAUCCACCUGCUUAACAGAUGGGCCGCGGAAGAUACUAUAGAGCUAGGAGGCGGGAGAGGCAAGCGGUACUCGAUGGGUAGGGGUAAAAUCCGUUGAUCCAUUGAAGACCACCAGUGGCGAAGGCGGCUUGCCAGAACGCGCUCGACGGUGAGGGAUGAAAGCUGGGGGAGCAAACCGGAUUAGAUACCCGGGUAGUCCCAGCUGUAAACGAUGCAGACUCGGUGAUGAAUUGGCUUCAUGCCAAUUCAGUGCCGCAGGGAAGCCGUUAAGUUUGCCGCCUGGGGAGUACGGUCGCAAGACUGAAACUUAAAG